rnacentral:rRNA from 1 species
AGAGUUUGAUCAUGGCCAAGUCUUAACAAGGUAGGUCGGAACAAGGUACUAGAGUUUGAUCAUGGCCAAGUCGUAACGAGGGAAGGGGUGAGUUGGACUGGGGGUUAUAUCAUAGGAACGUACCCGCAAGGGAGGGGGAUUAUUUGGGAGGUUGUUUUUAUAUUGCAUCUAAUCUGAGGAUGAUUGCAGGUGACUGGACGGCCUUUUGCACCUGGAGCGGCCGAUAUCUGAUUAGCUAGUUGGUAGGGUAAAGGCCUACCAAGGCGACGAUCAGUAGCUGGUCUGAGAGGACGACCAGCCACACUGGAACUGAGACACGGUCCAGACUCCUACGGGAGGCAGCAGUGGGGAAUUUUCCGCAAUGGGCGAAAGCCUGACGGAGCAAUACCGCGUGAGGGAGGAAGGUCUGUGGAUUGUAAACCUCUUUUGAUAGGGAAGAAGUUCUGACGGUACCUAUCGAAUCAGCAUCGGCUGACUCCGUGCCAGCAGCCGCGGUAAUACGGAGGAUGCAAGCGUUAUCCGGAUUUAUUGGGCGUAAAGCGUCCGUAGGUGGUUAUUCAAGUCUAUUGUCAAAGCCUGGGGCUUAACCCUGGAGAGGCGGUGGAAACUGAAUAACUAGAGUGCGGUAGGGGCAGAGGGAAUUCCCAGUGUAGC